rnacentral:misc_RNA from 1 species
AAGUCGUAACAAGGUUUCCGUAGGUGAACCUGCGGAAGGAUCAUUAUCCUUUAGCGUAGUGCUCUUUUUGAGCUCUACUUGCGCAUGCACUCAAUAGUGUUGCGUUACAAUGCACAGUGAGCGAGCCUCGUCUCGUUCGCUUUCAAAUCCGUGCUUGCUCGAGUACGGUCGGGUACCUAUGUGUGCGCUUGUCGCAUACACAAGCGAUAGAUCUAUGUCUAUCGUGUGGUGUAAAGAUUAUUCUUGCUUAUUUUUUUAUGAAGAAUAACGCCCGCUUAGCUAAAACAAUUUUAAUACAAAUUUUAUAUCGCAUUUACUUAUGUUGUAUGUGUAAAGCACUGUCUCUGCUUUCUCUAAAAGCUUGAGAUAUUAACACAAAUACAACCCUAUGCGGUGGAUCAUUUGGCUC